rnacentral:rRNA from 1 species
GCGUAAUAGCUCACUGGUCUAGUGAUUCUGCGCGGAAAAUAUAACGGGGCUAAAAUGAGUACCGAAGCUUUAGACUUGCACUUAAUUCUAAUUAUAAAUUUGGCUAAGAGCUUUUAAGUUAUAUUUCUCAUAAUUUAAUUGCACUCAUAUAAAUUAAAUUAUGAGAAAAUAGUUUAGCUAAAAUAAUUAGAAGUAAUUAGAAUUAAGUGCAAGUGGUUGGAGAGCGUUCUAUUCAGCGUUGAAGGUAUACCGGUAAGGAGUGCUGGAGCGGAUAGAAGUGAGCAUGCAGGCAUGAGUAGCGAUAAUUGAUGUGAGAAUCAUCAACGCCGGAAACCCAAGGUUUCCUACGCGAUGCUCGUCAUCGUAGGGUUAGUCGGGUCCUAAGCAAAGUCCGAAAGGGNAUGCGAUGGAAAAUUGGUUAAUAUUCCAAUACCAAUUAUUAUGUGCGAUGGAAGGACGCUUAAAGUUAGUGGAGCUAGCGGAUGGAAGUGCUAGUCUAAGGGUGUAGGUUGAGUUAUAGGCAAAUCCGUAACUCUUUAUCCGAGACCUAAAAGGCUCAUGACGCUCUUCGGAGUAGAUUGAGAAUCCAUGAUACUAUCGAGCCAAGAAAAGUUUCUAAGUUUAGUAAUAAUUGCCCGUACCGUAAACCGACACAGGUGGGUGGGAUGAGUAUUCUAAGGCGCGUGGAAGAACUCUCUUUAAGGAACUCUGCAAAAUAGCACCGUAUCUUUGGUAUAAGGUGUGCCUAACUUUGUAUUAAGAUUCACUCCCAAAGCAAAGAAGGUUACAACAAAGAGUCCCUCCCGACUGUUUACCAUAAACACAGCACUCUGCUAACACGUAAGUGGAUGUAUAGGGUGUGACGCCUGCCCGGUGCUCGAAGGUUAAUUGAUGAUGUUAGCUAUGC